CAGAUCACAAGCCGUGUCCAGGAGAGGCAGCAGCAGGCAGCGGGAGCACAGGAGCCUGAGCUGGAGGCUUACCUGGCCGUGCUGUGCCCCACAGUGACACUUCUGAGGCCACCCAGGAGGCACAGCUGGCUGCACCAAACCUGGCUCCCGUCACCCUCACAGGUGGCUGCUCUGUGACUCCCCAUUGCCCACGGUGUGUAUCUUUUUUCCUUUAUCUUAUCAACUAAAGAAUUGGAAAGACAUUUUGCCUGAAGGAAAGCACUGAGGAAGCUCACAGUAAUACAAUUUGAAGGACACCUGUAUACUGGAAUUUUUGCCUCACCCGUCUGGCGUCUCCUCUGGCUGCCCUUCUGAAACGUGCGCUCCGAAAGGACCCGUAUGGUGGUGCUUUCCCUCAACAGCACCCCCAGGAGAAGAAAAUAGUAUUUUUACAACAUCAGUUGUGAAAGUUGGGCUGAGACAAUUUAGAACAUUUUGGCUGCUUUUCACAUUGACUUCAAUAGAGGAAUAAAUCGAAACUAGAUCUCCAUCAGCAAGAAAGAAGUAUUUGACAAAUUAUUUAAAAGACUGGGGCUCAGAAAAACUUUGACAACCUGCUUAAGACCUUGAACCUGCCCCACUGACGAGCCUGCAGUCUUCAACACCUCUGACGCUGUGGCAUCUGACUACCUUGUCCGUUCACCUUUUCCACCACCCUUGGGCAAAAUGCAAAGCUGGCAGCAAGCAGCAGAGAAUGCAAAGGUGGACACCCUGGCAUCCCAAAUGGAAAUGCUUAUUCUAGUUAUUGUUGUUCACCCUUGACCAUGCACUCGGGUAUCAAUUCGCUAAAAUUAGAAGAGGAAUUAUUAUAACAUCUUCAUCCGUUUGAUUAAAAUAAAUGAGCACGAAAUGUACAAUUUUGUCUUUUCAGCCUAAAAUGGUUGCUAGAGACUAGAAGUGCUUCUGACUUACAUUGGCCAGGAUUUGGAAUGACCCUAUAAUCUCAUUGAAGGGAUAUCAAUAAUCAGGGAAUUGAUGAUUGCCACAUACACAAACAAAUGCUUCUUCGUAAUCACCUGUUUUUAACUAAACACCAGAGCAAACUAAGCUGAUCUAUGUCUCAUGUCUUUAUUGAUGUGGAGCCCUACCUGUUCAUAUUUGCCUGAUUUGAGCAAAAAACAGCCACAACUCCAGAGUGAGAAACUUGUCCUGUAAAGAAGCAGAUAGGAAAUGCUUUCGCUUUUAUAAAUGACUUUGCUGUGCAGUUCUCUAUUAUAUAUUAAAUGGCUCCUCUGAUUUGAAGAACUUUCAAGCUGAGCGCUCAAGCCUGCAGUACUGCCCACUAUAAACAGGCAUUUGACAGAAUGAAAAAACUCAUUUCAUCUUCUCUUUAAUCUGUAUGCUUCCUCCACUCCCCCUUUCCAUUUGCAACAUAGAAUGGACUUUCCACUAUCAGUCUUAGCUCCUCAAUAAGGCAGUCCUGUUUCCAAGGCAAUUCGGUGCAUUAUAAACGAGAGGAAAUGAAAAUGCUUGCCACCCACUGAUUAACUGCCUGUCAAUAUAUUUAGAUCAGCUUAAUAUUUCCCCCAGAAUUCAGAAAUAUUGGAAAUAUCCUAGAGCAAAGCUCCACACCUGAAUCCCUCAAGAGAAGCGGGAGAAACACCUUUCCAUCAAUUCUUCCAGAUUCAUAAGGCAAAGCCAACCCUAAUUCAAGCUAAUAAAAACGUUGCAAGCGUCUGGGAAGCUGGAAGGCUAGCAAACUCCGCCACGCUUGGUUUUUAAAGCUGCAGAAAACUUGAAGAACUUAGUGGCCUAACAAACCACCUGCCAUCGGGACUGAUGUGUUGAUGUCCUUGAAAAUGCAUUUUGUGAUGACACAGAGAGCUUCUGCACUUGAGUAACUGUAGCUAUGCUUCCUCCCAGCUUUGUCAAGGAAAUUUUUUAUGCUCAAACACUGCCUGGAUCAAUAGCAACUCAAUAUCAUUCAUGAUUAGUGCAAUGGUGCUCCUUCCCUUUUCUGAGACUGAUCCAGAUGAGAAGGUUGGUUUAACCCUAUGCAUACCUAACAGGGACUAAACAGAAAUUUAUGAUGAAAAUUCAGGCUCGUCUCCUGACGGUGUUCAUGCAACUGUUUCCUCCCUCACUGCUCCUCUGCUGAUUUCCUGUAACGGUUAAACGGGCCAUGUCUCUCGAGGCUCCAUUCAUAUCCUUUUACCUGUGGCUCGUGACUCUACCUUGAGCUAUUUUUAAAUAGUUGACCUGAUAGAUGACCUGAGCCAUCUCAUGUUUCAUCUAUCCUUGUAAAAAAAAAAGAAAGAAAGAAAA